rnacentral:misc_RNA from 1 species
GAAAUGCGAUAAGUAAUGUGAAUUGCAGAAUUCAGUGAAUCAUCGAAUCUUUGAACGCACAUUGCGCCCGCCAGUAUUCUGGCGGGCAUGCCUGUUCGAGCGUCAUUUCAACCAUCAAGCCCCCGGCUUGUGUUGGGGACCUGCGGCUGCCCGCAGGCCCUGAAAAACAGUGGCGGGCUCGCUGUCACACCGAGCGUAGUAGCAUACAUUCUCGCUCAGGGCGUGCUGCGGGUUCCGGCCGUUAAACGACCUUCAUAACCCAAGGUUGACCUCGGAUCAGGUAGGAAUACCCGCUGAACUUAAGC